rnacentral:lncRNA from 1 species
AGCCAGAGUUCAUAGCAACUGUUCCAUACUCAUGGAGAAUUCUUCUCAUGAGUAUGCAAGACGUCUCUUACAAUAUCACAAAGCAAAUAAUGGAAUAAAUAAUAAAUCAAAUCCAAAAUUUAACUAAUUGAAAUCAAUUUUAAUCUCUCAUAGAAUCCUGACGAUAUUCAAAAGAUUUUAUUUUAAUUAAACUUCAAAUAAUAAUCCUAUCAAAUCUCGCUUC